GACGUAGGGGGCAAGCGUUGUCCGGAAUUAUUGGGCGUAAAGCGCGUGUAGGCGGCUUUGCAAGUCGGGUGUGAAAGCCCCGGGCUCAACCUGGGAAUUGCAUUCGAGACUGAAUAGCUAGGGUACGGUAGAGGGAAGUGGAAUUUCCGGUGUAGCGGUGAAAUGCGUAGAUAUCGGAAGGAACAUCAGUGGCGAAAGCGACUUCCUGGACCAGUACCGACGUUCAGGCACGAAAGCGUGGGGGAGCAAACAGG
rnacentral:rRNA from 1 species